CUAGUACCCCCUCCGUCCCAAAAUUCUUUUCUUAGAUUUAUCUAGAUACGGAUGUAUCUAACACUAAAAUGUGAAUAGAUACAUCAGUAUGUAGACAAAUCUAAGACAAGAAUUUUGGGACGGAGGGAGUAUCUG
rnacentral:pre_miRNA from 1 species